rnacentral:misc_RNA from 1 species
GAUGAAGAACGUAGCGAAAUGCGAUAAGUAAUGUGAAUUGCAGAAUUCAGUGAGUCAUCGAAUCUUUGAACGCACCUUGCGCCCUUUGGCCAUUCCGAAGGGCAUGCCUGUUUGAGUAUCAUGAACACCUCAACUCUUUAUGGUUUUCCAUGAUGAGCUUGGACUCUGGGGGUUUUGCUGGCUCACAGUCGGCUCCUCUAAAAUGAAUCAGCUUACCAGUGUUUGGUGGGUAUCAUGGGUGUGAUAACUAUCUACGCUUGUGGUUUUUCCACCAGGUAACCUUCAGCAGUGGAGGUUCGCUGGAGCUCAUAGAUGUCUCUCCUCAGUGAGGACAGCCCUUUGAAUGUUUGAUCUCAAAUCAGGUAGGACUACCCGCUGAACUUAAGCAUAUCAAUAAGCGGAGGA